rnacentral:rRNA from 1 species
GUGGGGAAUAUUGCACAAUGGGCGCAAGCCUGAUGCAGCCAUGCCGCGUGUAUGAAGAAGGCCUUCGGGUUGUAAAGUACUUUCAGCGGGGAGGAAGGUGUUGAGGUUAAUAACCUCAGCAAUUGACGUUACCCGCAGAAGAAGCACCGGCUAACUCCGUGCCAGCAGCCGCGGUAAUACGGAGGGUGCAAGCGUUAAUCGGAAUUACUGGGCGUAAAGCGCACGCAGGCGGUCUGUCAAGUCGGAUGUGAAAUCCCCGGGCUCAACCUGGGAACUGCAUUCGAAACUGGCAGGCUAGAGUCUUGUAGAGGGGGGUAGAAUUCCAGGUGUAGCGGUGAAAUGCGUAGAGAUCUGGAGGAAUACCGGUGGCGAAGGCGGCCCCCUGGACAAAGACUGACGCUCAGGUGCGAAAGCGUGGGGAGCAAACAGGAUUAGAAACCCCUGUAGUCC